AUUGAACGCUGGCGGCAGGCCUAACACAUGCAAGUCGAGCGGAUGAAGGGAGCUUGCUCCUGGAUUCAGCUGCGGACGGGUGAGUAAUGCCUAGGAAUCUGCCUGGUAUUUGGGGAUAACGUCCGGAAACGGGCGCUAAUACCGCAUACGUCCUGAGGUAGAAAGUGGGGGAUCUUCGGACCUCACGCUAUCAGAUGAGCCUAGGUCGGAUUAGCUAGUUGGUGGGGUAAAGGCCUACCAAGGCGACGAUCCGUAACUGGUCUGAGAGGAUGAUCAGUCACACUGGAACUGAGACACGGUCCAGACUCCUACGGGAGGCAGCAGUAGGGAAUAUUGGACAAUGGGCGAAAGCCUGAUGCAGCCAUGCCGCGUGUGUGAAGAAGGUCUUCGGAUUGUAAAGCACUUUAAGUUGGGAGGAAGGACAGUAAGUUUAUACAUUGCUGUUUUGACGUUACCAACAGAGUAAGCACCGGCUAACUUCGUG
rnacentral:rRNA from 1 species